rnacentral:rRNA from 1 species
GAUGAACGCUGGCGGCGUGCCUAAUACAUGCAAGUCGAGCGAACAGACGAGGAGCUUGCUCCUCUGACGUUAGCGGCGGACGGGUGAGUAACACGUGGAUAACCUACCUAUAAGACCGGGAUAACUUCGGGAAACCGGAGCUAAUACCGGAUAACAUGUUGAACCGCAUGGUUCAACAGUGAAAGACGGUCUUGCUGUCACUUAUAGAUGGAUCCGCGCCGCAUUAGCUAGUUGGUAAGGUAACGGCUUACCAAGGCAACGAUGCGUAGCCGACCUGAGAGGGUGAUCGGCCACACUGGAACUGAGACACGGUCCAGACUCCUACGGGAGGCAGCAGUAGGGAAUCUUCCGCAAUGGGCGAAAGCCUGACGGAGCAACGCCGCGUGAGUGAAGAAGGUCUUCGGAUCGUAAAACUCUGUUAUUAGGGAAGAACAAAUGUGUAAGUAACUAUGCACGUCUUGACGGUACCUAAUCAGAAAGCCACGGCUAACUACGU